rnacentral:lncRNA from 1 species
ACCAAAUGAAACAUGAGGGGUGACACUGUCCUUUUUCUUUGGUCGUCAUGAAAAAAAAAAACAUAAGGGGUAACACUGUUGUUUUUUAUUGGUCGUCAUGAAAAAAAAACAUAAGGGGUAACACUGUUGUUUUUUAUUGGUCGUCAUGAAAAAAAAACAUAAGGGGUAACACUGUUGUUUUUUAUUGGUCGUCAUGAAAAAAAACAUAAGGGGUAACACUGUUGUAUUUGUC